rnacentral:rRNA from 1 species
UGGGGAAUUUUGGACAAUGGGGGCAACCCUGAUCCAGCAAUGCCGCGUGUGUGAAGAAGGCCUUCGGGUUGUAAAGCACUUUUGUCCGGAAAGAAAACUUCGUCCCUAAUAUGGAUGGAGGAUGACGGUACCGGAAGAAUAAGCACCGGCUAACUACGUGCCAGCAGCCGCGGUAAUACGUAGGGUGCGAGCGUUAAUCGGAAUUACUGGGCGUAAAGCGUGCGCAGGCGGUCUGUUAAGACCGAUGUGAAAUCCCCGGGCUUAACCUGGGAACUGCAUUGGUGACUGGCAGGCUAGAGUGUGGCAGAGGGGGGUAGAAUUCCACGUGUAGCAGUGAAAUGCGUAGAGAUGUGGAGGAAUACCGAUGGCGAAGGCAGCCCCCUGGGCUAACACUGACGCUCAUGCACGAAAGCGUGGGGAGCAAACA